rnacentral:lncRNA from 1 species
AGUUCUUCAGGGCUGUCUCUGUGAUCCAGGCUUUGAUCUGGGAAAGGUUGCGCCUCAUUGCAGAGUUGAAGCUAUCUGCCUGCUUUGUUUACACGAACGCCCUUCCAGGACUCUGUCUGCUUUUGGGGUGGAAGUGCCCUGCCAAAAACUCCAGCUCUCCAUGCUGGCUGUGUGGCCAGCAUACCUCCUGCCUUUUCAACGAUUCCUCUGCCCUGGAUAGAGAGCGGUGUCUCAUAACAGUUUGGAAACUACAAAAGUUUCCCUGGCAGGAUGAAUGAUUGACUCGGCAACAUGUUCUUGCCUUUUGGAGUUGCCCUCCAAUUUUUCCAGGCUUGAUUCUGUAAAUCAUUUCAUCUUGUAAAAAUACUGGGCUGUGAGCACGGAUGAUCUCAAAGAUGAGGAAACAGAAGCUGGGAUAUGUGAGUAAACAUUUCCAAGGUCCUGCAGCUAAUCAAUGGUUGACAACUUCUUUCCUCUGCCUAUGUUGCCAUCCAUGUCAUGGUUUGUGUCAAGACUCUAGGAGAAGUCUACCAUCAGCACCACAGCUACUGUGCACAAAUCCAGAAUGCCAGACUGAAGUCAGAAGGAAAGAUCCUUUAUAUAUUGAAAGAAGAAAGUAGAACCAUUUCUGGGUCCCAGCUGUGGGAAGAGCUCCUGUGGCUGUGAAUUCUGACUUCUGGGUCUUGGCACAAGGUGUGGCCAGCAAGCUAAGCUGUCCUGAGGGUGUGCAGGGCCAGGGGCUGAAGACAGUGUUGGAGCAUCCACAGACUGGUUUGUCUCAAGAAGCAUGUUACUAAAUAUGAAAUAGCAAAAUCUGCAAGUGGGUUUACUUUUCCCCCAUAGAUUAGAAUGGAUUCAAUAUUAUCUCUUUAUUAGCGUCACUUUUAAUCACUUGUAUAACAAGUAGGACAGAAAGGUGGCUUGAAAGUCAAUCAUGUGAGAAUUCCAGAUAAAUUGACUUUGCUCACAACAAUCUGUUAUUCAUGUGACUAUCAACUGUCAUGUGUGCUGGGGCAAAAAAAGAAGAUAAGGAUUCACUGGUAUCAGAUAGUUCCAGGAGGGGAAACCCAGGAUUGAACUUUUUCAGCCUUCUAUGGUAAAAUUUCCUGCUCUGUCGGUGCGCCAAAGCUUUUUUCAGUUUCCUAAACUCCCAUAUUCAAGAAGAUAAGCUAUUUUCUCUUCUUUCUCAUCCUUCCUUGACAAAGCAAAGCAUAUUUUCAUUGUCUACUCUGUGUCAUCCAUGCUUGGUUCCUGUCCUCAAAGAGCUUAUAGUUCAAAUAAAGGAGAGGGAGCAUUUUACAAGGGAAUUAAAGGUAAAAGAUUCUGAAAGCCAGUUUAAAAAGUCGUGAGGGAGGGGUCUGGGAGAAGCUGAGCAGGGGUGAAAGGGUACGAAACAUUAUGGAAGGAGAACAGGGGAGCACCCUGACUACUGGGUGGAAACACCAAUCAGUGGGUAGAAACCACACAGUGGUAACACUGAUCAGUGGGUAGAAAACAAUGACAGCAGGUAUAUGAGGCAUGGAACACUUGGCUUAUUGUAAAGUUUUCAAAAUAUGCAGUCCUUUCUAUCCACCAGGGGUUGGGAGUUGUCUUUGUAUAUCAACCGUGGAAGGGCUGUUUUGGUUCAUCAUUCUGUGGUCUACCUGGGUAGACCUGAUGCAGCCGUGUUUCUGAGGAAAGGAAGAACAGCUUUUGUUUUGUGAUAUGUAAUGGUAGAUGUAGUGCCAUGGAAUGAUGCAGAUUUCAUUCAGAUAUUCUUGGAUCUUGGCCCCAGGACUCACUCAUUCUUCCCUAUAUGAGCAUUGGUAGUUACAGGUUUUAUCCUUCCUUUAAUUGUAAGUCUUUUGAAGCCAAAAACUGUAUCCAAUUUGUCACUGUCUCCUAACAGUACUUAGCAGUGUCUGAUGCAUCAUAGGGAGUUUGUAAAUGUUUGGAUAAAUAAAGGGAAAACAAAAACAACCACAAAAAAACCUUUAUUUUGCUUUAAUAAAAAUAUUUUAACUAGUU